GCGUUAUUGACAAAAAAUUAUUUUUCAUUUGUCAAUUAAAUAAACAAAAAAACUUGAAAUUCACAAGAGAAUGCCUAAAAUAUCCUAAAGUUCCAAG
ensembl:ncRNA ZC412.15 ncRNA